ACUUUUCUCGCGCUGGUCUCUUCGGCGCUCAGGGAUGGCGCGGAAGUCGAACUUGCCUGUGUUUCUCGUGCUGUUUCUGCUCUGCCAGGCCCUAGUGCGCUGCUCCAGCCCUCUGCCCCUGGUCCUCAACACUUGGCCUUUUAAGAAUGCAACCGAAGCAGCGUGGAGGGCAUUAGCAUCUGGAGGCUCUGCCCUGGAUGCAGUGGAGAGCGGCUGUGCCAUGUGUGAGAGAGAGCAGUGUGACGGCUCUGUAGGCUUUGGAGGAAGUCCUGAUGAACUUGGAGAAACCACACUAGAUGCCAUGAUCAUGGAUGGCACUACUAUGGAUGUAGGAGCAGUAGGAGAUCUUAGACGAAUUAAAAAUGCUAUUGGUGUGGCACGGAAAGUACUGGAACAUACAACACACACACUUUUAGUAGGAGAGUCAGCCACCAAAUUUGCUGAGAGUAUGGGGUUUAUCAAUGAAGACUUAUCUACCAGUGUUUCUGAAGCUCUUCAUUCAGAUUGGCUUGCUCGGAAUUGCCAGCCAAAUUAUUGGAGGAAUGUUAUACCAGAUCCCUCAAAAUACUGCGGACCCUACAAACCACCUGGUAUCUUAAAGCAGGAUAUUCCUAUCCAUAAAGAAACAGAAGAUGAUCGUGCUCAUGACACUAUUGCCGUGUAGGAGACUCACCAAUACCUGGAGCUGGAGCCUAUGCUGACGAUACUGCAGGGGCAGCCGCAGCCACUGGGAAUGGUGAUAUAUUGAUGCGCUUCCUACCA
rnacentral:sRNA from 1 species